rnacentral:rRNA from 1 species
AUUGAACGCUGGCGGCAUGCCUUACACAUGCAAGUCGAACGGCAGCACGGGAGCAAUCCUGGUGGCGAGUGGCGAACGGGUGAGUAAUAUAUCGGAACGUGCCCAGUCGUGGGGAUAACGUAGCGAAAGCUACGCUAAUACCGCAUACGAUCUAUGGAUGAAAGCGGGGGAUCGCAAGACCUCGCGCGAUUGGAGCGGCCGAUAUCAGAUUAGGUAGUUGGUGAGGUAAAGGCUCACCAAGCCGACGAUCUGUAGCUGGUCUGAGAGGACGACCAGCCACACUGGGACUGAGACACGGCCCAGACUCCUACGGGAGGCAGCAGUGGGGGAAUUUUUGGGACAAAUGGGGCGCAAGCCUGAUCCAGCAAUGCCGCGUGCAGGAUGAAGGCCUUCGGUUGUAACUAGCUUUGUACGGUACGAAACGGUG